rnacentral:rRNA from 1 species
UACAGAGGUCUCAAGCGUUGUUCGGAUUCAUUGGGCGUAAAGGGUGCGUAGGCGGCGCGGUAAGUCGGAUGUGAAAUCUCGGAGCUUAACUCCGAAACUGCAUUCGAUACUGCCGUGCUUGAGGACUGGAGAGGAGACUGGAAUUUACGGUGUAGCGGUGAAAUGCGCAGAUAUCGGGAGGAACACCGGUGGCGAAGGCGGUUCUCUGGGCCUGACCUGACGCUGAGGAGCGAAAGCGUGGGGAGCGAACAGG